GACGAACGCUGGCGGCGUGCCUAAUACAUGCAAGUUGAGCGCUGAAGGUUGGUACUUGUACCCACUGGAUGAGCAGCGAACGGGUGAGUAACGCGUGGGGAAUCUGCCUUUGAGCGGGGGACAACAUUUGGAAACGAAUGCUAAUACCGCAUAAAAACUUUAAACACAAGUUUUAAGUUUGAAAGAUGCAAUUGCAUCACUCAAAGAUGAUCCCGCGUUGUAUUAGCUAGUUGGUGAGGUAAAGGCUCACCAAGGCGAUGAUACAUAGCCGACCUGAGAGGGUGAUCGGCCACAUUGGGACUGAGACACGGCCCAAACUCCUACGGGAGGCAGCAGUAGGGAAUCUUCGGCAAUGGACGAAAGUCUGACCGAGCAACGCCGCGUGAGUGAAGAAGGGUUUCGGAUCGUAAAACUCUGUUGGUAGAGAAGAACGUUGGUGAGAGUGGAAAGCUCAUCAAGUGACGGUAACUACACAGAAAGGGACGGCUAACUACGUG
rnacentral:rRNA from 1 species